rnacentral:lncRNA from 1 species
AGGAGCUCGCCGUUGUGCAUGUAGGCGAGGAUGAUGUCGUUGGCAGGGUCCAGCGCCACCUCGAGAGGGAGGCUGGUGCCGUACUUGGAGCCGCCGCCGCCGGGGAGGUCCUCGUCGCCUUCGAAGCAGACGUUCAUCUUCGGCGGUGCGCCGCCGCCGGCGGCUUCGCCGGUGGGGGGCCGCCGCAUGGCGCCGCAGCGGCGGAGGAUGUCGCAGAGGCGGGCACCGCGCCACACACCGGUGGACACGCCGGCU